CUCACCUAUCACCCAAAAAUGGUUUUAUUUUUCUUCUCAAAGCAGAGUACAAGUAGUCAAAUAUAGCGACCAAAUUUACCAAAAAAUCAGAGGGAGAGAGAAUCUAUGGAUUUGGUGAAGAUGUAGAAAAAAAUCAUAAAAGGAUGAGAUGAUGCAUGUCUCCUUCCUCAAAACAUGGCUUCUUUCUUCUUCUUUUUUUCUCUCUUUAUCAAUUUCAGCAUUUCACUGUCUCUGCAAAAUUGAGUAGUAUUAUUGGCUAUGGCUAAAAAGCUUCACCUAACCUUUUUUUUUUUUUCUCCCAGUAGUACCAACUUUUUUGCCACCACUAAUUCACCAUGAACACUACCUUUUUACCUGGACAUUAAUUAUUAUUAUUCGUUGUUUACAUUAUGAUUGUGAACCACUCUUGUCUUCUUCCUUUUUUUUUUUCUGUCCUUAUUAAUUACUACUAGUAACAAAUAAUGAGUACUCCAUUUUAUCAACUAGAAAAAAUAGUAAACUUUAAGAUUAAAACAGAAAAAGUGGGUACAACUAUGUAUAAAGGCUUACGGUGAGAUCAGAUUCUGAUGAAGUGAAAAUGUCCCAUUAAAGAAACAAACAGAGACACACAUUCUGUGUACCUUGCUUGAUAUCUUUGUAUUCACAGCCGC